UCCCCCAGAAGAGUGACGUGCCAAGGGGGGCAGGGGGGUGAGUGGCCCGUGGUCCUUCCUGCUCGCAGGCGGGAAGGGGGUGCGUCAUCUGCAGAGAAUUUCAUAACAAUAGUACAAUCGAUCUAGAGUUUGCUGUGCUCCUUAUUAUCACUGUGUGUUGGCGAGGCUACAUGAGGUCCGUGAUAGAACACUCCUCUGCACGGGGGAGGGGCAGCGCCCCCUCCCCUCUCUUGCUGCGCCCUCGGGGCACAGGGCCCUGGGAGGCUGGCAGCUGGUUCUUCUUCGCUCAUGCGUGGUGCCCAGGGCUGGCCCUCCUUUCUGAUUGGUUUGGCCCUGCACAAUGUGGAGGUAGAAAUGCACUUGCAGGGGUCAAGAGUCACAGAGAGGUCAAAGUGCCAGUUUAGAAGGCAAAGCCCUUCUCCGCUUAGAACCCUCCCGGCCUUGCCCUAGUGAUAUUAGAGGGAGGCGGGGGGUCGAGGCCCCUGCAAGCCCUCGUCGACAGAGGCAAGGACUUUGGAUUUUUUUUUUUAAUUUUUUUUUUUUUUAAAGACUUUAUUUAUUUGACAGAGAGAAACAUAGUGAGAGAGGGAACACAAGCAGGGGGAGUAGGAGAGGGAGAAGCAGGCUUCCCGCUGAGCAGGGAGCCCGAUGCGGGGCUCGAUCCCAGCACCCUGGGACCAUGACCUGAGCCGAAGGCAGACGCUUAACGACUGAGCCACCCAGGCGCCCAGGACUUUGGAUUUUGUUACAAUCACAGUGGGAAGCUCUGGGAGGGUUCUAGGCAGAGGAGGGCUGUGAUCUGAUUUAUGUUUGGGGAGAACGGGAUAAUUCAGGAAGCUGAACCCAGGAACGGGCUCCGGUGAGACUUCGGGACGGCGUUCUUUGUUUUUCCAUCUACAAGGCUUUUUGGAUGUCUGCUGUGUGCCAGGCUCCAGGCCAGCACGGGGUUGGGGGGCUGGGGGUUAGCAUGAGUGAAACGGAGAGGACCCUGCCUUCAGGGGGCGCAGGGCCUGGUGAGGGGAGACAGACAUUAAUUCGACUAUCGUACCAACAUCGACGACGCUGACCAGUGCUGGAAGGAGGUGCGAGCGUCCUGGAGCCUCAAAGGAAAAUGUUCUCGAAGGAGGGCUUUUAACAGAGAUCUCAGGACGCGGUGAGCUAAUCAAUCUUAACAAAAAAGGAAUCUCCAAGGCGUGCAGCUACAGCGAACAUUGAGGAGAGAUCGUCUUUUGUGCAGUCUCGGGAACUUACUGAGAGUGUCCACUGUUCCAGACACGUCUUCCCCAGACGCGAGGCUACUCAUGGUACUUGAGUGUCUGGUGUCACCUCACGGUACCAGCCUGCGUUUGGAAAUGUCACAUUUGUGGUUGCUGCCCAGCCUCAUCACUUAGCUGCAGCUGGGGGCCAAGGAAUGGACUGCAGAUCACUUUCUGCGGCUGCGCGUGCCUGUCUGCAAUGGCUUGAAAUGCUAGGGGCCUUGGAUCUGGGAAUAGCAAUCUGCGCUGAACAGCCGGGCUUGAAUCCCAAUCCUAAAGCAAUGAAUGCAUUCCUGCAUGUGCUGAAGUGGGGCAGAUGGUGCUAGAAAGACCCAUAGAGUCAUCUUGUCCGACUUCCCAUGUUACAGGUGGGAGAUGAAGAGCCUGGCAGGGGUAGGAAUUUGCCCAAGGCCACAGAGACAGCUGGAGCCCAUUGGUCACAAUGGUGGCUCUUGGAGUCCAGUCAUCUGGUCAACCUCAUCUCCCUCCCAUUACCCCUCUUCUUCCAGAGGAAAACCAACACUUGGAGGGGGAAAAGCUUGAUCAGCAUCACGCAGUAGAUGAAUAUAGAGCUGUGUACUUCCUGGGUUUGGCUGAAAAUCCACGAGGGAGUUAAAUAAUUUUGAGACUGUGCGUGAGGAAAAAAGAAUUCCAGGGCAUUUCUAAACUAAUUGGACCAUGGAGUGGGCUGUAGUUAAUACAUGAUAGAUAUUUAAUCAAUGAUCGGACUGAGUGGUGAGGCCAGGAAGAUCUCACACCAUUUCUCCACCUGGAAGCACAAUUUCCUAUAGGAAAAAGACGCUUAUAUUCCUGAUAGUUGGUGACUCUAGGCACCCCGAGGGCAGGGCUGGUGCUCUGUCAUAACUGGGGCAGGCAACAGAGCACAGUUGUGAAAUCAGUCGGGGAUAACAUUUCUGAAAAAGUCCAGUUCAGCCCUGAGCCAGAGGGAACUGUUGGGCUGUUCUGCCUUUGGCCUGGUUCUCCCUGUGGUAGAUAGUCUUCAAAGACGGCCCCCUCCGUGAGCCCCCCUCCUGGUGUUCAUGCCCUCCUACCGCCCUCUCCCCUGAAUACGGGCUGGCCCUGUAUGCACAAAUAGAAUGUAUUGGAUGUGACCAAGUGACUUCCAAGGCCACGUCAGAAGAUCCUUCUCUGAGAUGAGCCCUCCACACCAGCUAAGAAGCCACCACCAAGAUCAUGUGCAGAUAUGGGGAAAAGCCAGGGCCUGUGGAAGGAGACUCUCCUUGCCCUUCCCUCUGGACAGCCCUCCCUCACCUGGAGUCCUGCUUACACCUCCCCUCUGCCCUUGGUUUCUGGCCAACUCCCAAAACGUGUGGCCAAGAGGCCCCAGAGUGUCCCUGGGGGACCGACAAUGGGAAGGAGCAGGGCUAUGCAAACAGCUAACUGGUCGGUACAAGACGAGCACAAGAAUAGAGCAAUUCUAGACACUAGGAUCGAAAUUUGACAUUGCCACGACAGCCAAGCCUUGAUCCAUGCACUUGUCUCUUCAAACGGGAAGUAGACCCUACGCAAUAUAACUGUCAGCUUGCGAGGUGUGUCAUGUUUGACCUGAGCAGCCUUCUGGUCAUGUGCUGAGGGGCCACGUAUUGUCCAUGAUGACCAUCUAGGUUGCAAAGCAGAGUGUGAGCCUGUAGUAUGCCUUUGUUCAUCCCCUUUGGGAGGAGACAACCCUGGGGGAAAGACAUGCCAUUGGUAAGCGCAGUGGGGGCUGGUUCUCGGGCCCCAUGCUCACUCCCCUGACCCCUCAGCUGGCUGUAUUUGUGCAGUGUGAAGUGUACAACUACCCGUGGUAAAUAGGAGUGGAGGCUUGCCCCCGGCCUUGAAGACUUGGGCAGCCUGACCCCUUCUUCUUUGUAGCUAGACCCUUGGAGGCUUGGGGCUUGUCUCAUAAGAGAAACUUGACUCCCUGUCUCUCAAGGAAAAGAACUGAAGGAUCCAAGGACUUUGCAUAUCUUUUCGUAAGACAAGCUGGUGACAUUAGACUCUGGGAUCAAUGACUUGAUUUUCACUUAAAUGCAUAAGACCUCAAGUAGCAAAUUCACUUGGGCCAGGGUUCUUUGAAACACCUGAGGAAGAGUCAGAAAGCUCAUUGGACCCCAAGUACUAACACUUCCAGAGGCCAGGAGCCAGCUGGCUUUGCCUGGCUGGGAGGUAGGCCCCUACCUAGUUGCCCCUGGGGGUUGUUUAGGGGAAAAUGCCAGGUCUGGGGUGAAUAAUUCCAGUACAGCUCCGGAGUCUGGCUUUGGAGGUGUGGUUGUGCCAGAAUUAAUUACAUUCUGGCACACAAUUCAGGACAACCCACUUCUCAAGGGGCUACCCUAAGAGCCAGCGUCUAAGUCUUGGGCUGAAGGGAGCACUUCCUGGAGGGACCCCCUGACUGUCAGGCAUGGGGGCCCGCAGGGAGGACCUGCCCUGGCUCCUUUAAGGCUUUGGAUCCCCCUUUUUUUUUUUUAAGAUUUUAUUUAUUUAUUUGAGAGAGAAUGAGAGAGAGCACAUGAGAGGGGGGAGGGUCAGAGGGAGAAGCAGACUCCCUGCCGAGCAGAGAGCCCGAUGUGGGACUCGAUCGAGGGACUCCAGGAUCAUGACCUGAGCCGAAGGCAGUCGCUUAACCAACUGAGCCACCCAGGCGCCCGGCUUUGGAUCCCUUUGGUGAGGGUUACAUUCUUACAUUUGUUUUUUAUUUAAAUCAGCAUAAAAACACAUACUCACCGGGAUCAUUUGUGAAACAUCUGUUUAUGAUAGUUAUGUUUGGGGCCCUUAUAAAAAGCCAUCACUACUCAGUAAAGAGGGCAGAGGAAUGCCCCUCCCCCCCAACCCCCCCCCCCAAAGUGUCUACUCUCCGAUGCCUGGAUCAGGUGAAUAGGUUACCUAACGUGGCAAGGGAGAAUUGAGGUUGCGGAUGGAAAUUAAGGUCACCGAUCAGCUGAUGUUAAGAUAAGAAUUAUCCGGCAUUAUCCAGGUGGACCCAAUGUCAUCUCAGGACCCUUUAAGGCAGAAGAGGAGGUCGGAGUUAGUGCUUUGAAGAUGCUACCAGCUGGCUUUGGAGAUGGAGGGGGGCCACGGGCCACGGGAGGCGGAAGUCACAGAAGGAGGAAGAGCCCCUGGAUGGUUCAGAUGGUGGCCUGAGGCCUACGGGACUGGACUGGGCAAGGCAGGAGCUGAAUUCCUGAAGAUUUGGACCCAGGAAGGACAGACUGAAGAGAGUUUUGGGGAUGAUACUUGGGGUAACGAGGGCGGGCUCUGGAGCCAGACCACCUGGGCCCAGCUCUGCGGGGGACUCAUACCGUGUGAUGUUGGGCGAGUUACAAUCCUUGGUGUGCCUCAGUCUCCUCAGCUGUGAAAUGGGUGUGAGGCAGGACUCUGAGACUCUCUUCAAAGGGCAGUACAACAACCCCCCACCCAAUGUCACCUUAUGGAAUGUUUAGUUCUGCUCUGAUGUUCCUGCCCCCAAGCGGCCCCUCCGCGUUGGACUUACAAUCAAUGUUCAAUUAGAGUUUAUUAAAUGAGCAACAAGAGAAGUGGAGUGGGGUCAGAUAGUUUCUAGGACAUUUACUGGCGACACAAACUUCCAUUCUGUGGAGUAACUGGAAAAGGUGCGAGGAACCAGGCUUUCCCUGCACUGUGGGCUCAGGACCGUUACAAGGAUGCAAGAAGCAGUAACCCUUUCAUUGUUUGGCGAGCACUUGUCCAUGAUCCCAUGUGGUUCUUUGAACUUGUAUUACUCUUUCGAUCUUAUAGAUGAAGAUCCUGGAGCACAGAGAUGUGCCAAGCACAGCCACUCCCAGAAAUGUACUUAAAGAAAUGGGCAAAUAAUGAUUGAGACAAUUUUGUGGCAGAGAAUAAAAGAUUACAUGCAGUCAAGCUUCCUUAUUUGUGGAUGCCAUCUUUAGGAGUUCAUCUCACUAAAAUUGAUUUGUAAUCCCAACGUCCAUGCUCAUGGUGCUUUUACUGACAUCUGUGGAUAUUCGCAUAUUGGUGAAA